UAAUUUAUCAUUUUUGUUCAUAGGUGUCUGGACUCUUAGGCAACAUCCUUACCAGACGGAGAAGACCAUCACUUGGAGAUCCUUGAUCCUGAGUUGGAUACAGUGACUGAAUGGGAUUUUGGACUGUUUCUCUUGUGAAUGGGUAAAUAGUCUGUGUGGGAAGAGCAGUGGAAGACUAUGUGAUGCCCAGGAGGAUAGACUCAGGAAGUUAAGUCCUGUUUAUGGUGUUGUACGAAUUACGAGCAUCCUCAGGUCCCGAGCAGCUCUUCCUCUGGAUCAGGUGUUGUGUCUGGCUGAAGGAAGAGGUGUCCCUGGAGCUGUCUCACUUGGCACUGUCACACCAUAUGCUGCCAUAAGGAAAACGUACCAGGGAGUCUAGUCUUUGCUCGGAGUGGGAAGAAAGGCAGAUGCUCCCAGUGCGGCCUUUCUUCCAGGCAGAGGAGGAACUUCUCAGGUUUCCAUCCCACUGAAUCAUAGACUCUCACUUCCCAUCCCCACUUCCACACUCCCUAAGUUAAGAUGCUGCUCCGUGCUUUAUGGUAACAGCUCACAGCCUCAUUAAAGCUGAGAUGAACAAAUGCUUACUGACCUUUUAUCACAAAGAAGGCAAUGUUGUUUAAAAGAAAACAAAACUAAUUCUGUUGACAACGCACCUUUCUGUCUGUUAGCCACAGAGCUUGUGUCGAGAUGGACAGCUUUCUGGGACAUUCAGCCUGCAGCCACAGUGCUCAGGAAAGACUACUGGUUUGCUGAAAUAUGAAUAUAAAAACACCUGACUCACCAAAUUAUUUCCUAGAAUAGUUAGCUGGGUGGAAGCUCACCAAGUUAAUAACUAAACCCCACACUCAAGUCUGUUGGCAAAGGGCAUGUUUAAGCUUAAUGGCUCUGUAUCCAUCCAGAGAGAUAAAGGAGACUUUGAUAUCCUGUCUGGUUGGCUGUGAGAGGAGCACGACUCAUUAGGCACCUGGGACGCUGAAGGAGUGACCUGUACUGGAAAUAUUUUGAAAAGUGAGUCGACGUACUAGCCCAGUCCUUCAGAGACUGCUCCACACCAAGCCUGAGGCAGCUGGUUAUUCAAGAAAUAGGACUUAGGGCUUCCCUGGUGACACAGUGGUUGAGAGUCUGCCUGCCGAUGCAGGGGACACGGGUUCGUGCCCUGG